rnacentral:rRNA from 1 species
AGUGAGGAAGGCGGGUACGUUAAUAGCGUGCUCGUUUGACGUUAGCUGCAGAAGAAGCACCGGCUAACUCCGUGCCAGCAGCCGCGGUAAUACGGGAGGGGUGCGAGCGUUAAUCGGAAUUACUAGGGCGUAAAGCGCAUGCAGGUGGUUUUGUUAAGUCAGAUGUGAAAGCCCCGGGGCUCAACCUCGGAAUUGCAUUUGAAACUGGCAGACUAGAGUACUGUAGAGGGGGUAGAAUUUCAGGUGUAGCGGUGAAAAUGCGUAGAGAUCUGAAGGAAUACCGGUGGCGAAGGCGGCCCCCUGGACAGAUACUGACACUCAGAUGCGAAAGCGUGGGGAGCAAACAGGAUUAGAUACCCCUGGUAG